rnacentral:rRNA from 1 species
AGAGUUUGAUCCUGGCUCAGAACGAACGCUGGCGGCAUGCCUAACACAUGCAAGUCGAACGAGACCUUCGGGUCUAGUGGCGCACGGGUGCGUAACGCGUGGGAAUCUGCCCUUGGGUUCGGAAUAACAGUUAGAAAUGACUGCUAAUACCGGAUGAUGACUUCGGUCCAAAGAUUUAUCGCCCAAGGAUGAGCCCGCGUAAGAUUAGGUAGUUGGUGGGGUAAAGGCCUACCAAGCCGACGAUCUUUAGCUGGUCUGAGAGGAUGAUCAGCCACACUGGGACUGAGACACGGCCCAGACUCCUACGGGAGGCAGCAGUGGGGAAUAUUGGACAAUGGGCGAAAGCCUGAUCCAGCAAUGCCGCGUGAGUGAUGAAAGGCCUUAGGGUCGUAAA